AUGCCAAGAGAUGUAUGUCUGUCCCCACAUUGUCCCCACGUUGUCCCCACAGUGUCCCCACAUUGUCCCCACAUUGUCCCCAAGUGUCCCCACAGUGUCCCCACAUAUUGUCCCCAAGUGUCCCCACAGUGUCCCCACAGUGUCCCCACAUUGUCCAAACAGUGUCCCCGCAUUGUCCCCACGUUGUCCCCACAUUGUCCCCAAGUGUCCCCACAGUGUCCCCAAGUGUCCCCACAUUGUCCCCAAGUGUCCCCACAGUGUCCCCACAGUGUCCCCACAUUGUCCAAACAGUGUCCCCACAUUGUCCAAACAGUGUCCCCACAGUGCCCCCACAGUGUCCCCACAUUGUCCCCAAGUGCCCCCACAUUGUCCCCACAUUGUCCCCACAGUGCCCCCACAGUGUCCCCACAGUGUCCCCACAUUGUCCCCACAUUGUCCCCACAGUGCCCCCACAUUGUCCCCACAUUGUCCCCACAGUGCCCCCACAGUGACCCCACAGUGUCCCCACAUUGUCCCCACAGUGCCCCCACAGUGACCCCACAGUGUCCCCACAUUGUCCCCACAGUGCCCCCACAGUGUCCCCAAGUGUCCCCACAUUGUCCCCAAGUGUCCCCACAGUGUCCCCACAGUGUCCCCACAUUGUCCAAACAGUGUCCCCACAUUGUCCAAACAGUGCCCCCACAGUGCCCCCACAGUGUCCCCACAGUGACCCCACAGUGUCCCCACAUUGUCCCCACAGUGCCCCCACAGUGCCCCCACAGUGUCCCCACAUUGUCCCCACAGUGCCCCCACAUUGUCCCCACAUUGUCCCCACAUUGUCCCCACAGUGCCCCCACAGUGCCCCCACAUUGUCCCCACAUUGUCCCCACAGUGCCCCCACAUUGUCCCCACAUUGUCCCCACAGUGCCCCCACAGUGCCCCCACAGUGUCCCCACAUUGUCCCCACAGUGCAUUCCUGAAAAUCCUAAAGGCUUAAGAUCAGUGGUUUCCAGCCUGGUGCAUUUUUCAGGGGUUCCGCAUUUUAUGACAUAUAUUUUUAUUAAAAUCCAACAUAGUAAAUGUUGGGAAUGA
rnacentral:lncRNA from 1 species